rnacentral:misc_RNA from 1 species
AGAUGGAUCAUUCAUAACUUUUUGUUACCUAUUGGUUCGCGUAUCCACAUAAUCGAAAUUAAUGCAUAUGGUUUUCCAACAUAUUUAAGGUCUAUUCUUAUACUAUACGAUUUUCGGCGAUGGAUGUCUUGGGUCCCGUAACGAUGAAGGGCGCAGCUAGAUGCGAUAUGCAGUUCGACUUGCAAACUUCAGUGAAACAUUAGAUACUUGAACGUAAAAGGUACUCUUGGAUUCUAUUCAAGAGUAUGCUCACUUCAGUGCUUCAUAUUCUUGUUGUCAAUACAUUCGACAACGUGUAUAGUCGCUGUUACUGUAACGGCGCCUUAAAUUCAGUAGUACAAGCUUAUUGGUAGUGAAAACAAAGCUUAUUCUAAUUUUUUGAAAAGAAGCCUGAGUUUGAGUCAGAAUACCCGCUGAACUUAAGCAUAUUAUUAAGCGGAGGAGAAGAAACUAACUAGGACUUCCUCAGUAACUGCGAGUGAACAGGAAAGUGCUCAAACUGAAAAUCGGCAACUAUUUGUCGAAUUGUAGUUUCAUGAAGUGCAGCUUGUGGUUGUUCUGGGUUAAGUCUCUUGGAAAAGAGUACUAAUAAGGGUGAAAGUCCCGUUUUUGCUCAGGAAUAAUUACGUUAAGUGCAUUUUCAAAGAGUCGCGUUCUUUGAGAUUAGAGCGCAAAGUCGGUGAUAAAUUUCAUCUAAAGCUAAAUAUUGACGGGGUCCCGAUAGCGUACAAGUACCGUGAGGGAAAGACGAAAAGGACUUUGAAAAGAGAGUUAAAAGGAACUGAAAUUGCUGGAAAGGAAGCAGAGAGUUUUGGCAGUCUAACGAAUCUUGGUAUCUACGUUAGUUGGUGCUAUAGUUUUGUGGUGACUCUGGAAGAGAUUAUUCUCCUUGGUUAAAAUAUUGAUGUGUUUCCUUCUGGUUUCACUUCCUUAUUGUCCUUGGUGUGACUAAUUUUCGUUACUAAUGCAGCCUUUGCGGUUGCAUUAUACUAUUCCAUUGCUUGCUGUUUCUCUCUGUCCCGUCUUGAAACACGGACCAAGGAGUCUACCUUCUGUGCGAGUGCAAUGGUGGUAAACCAGUGUGCGAAAUUAAAGUAAUAAUCGAGAAGGGUAACCGUCAUUGAGUCCCGGUUAUAAAGCUGAGGCUGAGCAUAGAGAGUAGGACCCGAAAGAUGGUGAACUAUGCCUGAGUAGGGUGAAGCUAGAGGAAACUCUGGUGGAAGCUCGCAGCGAUACUGACGUGCAAAUCGUUCGUCAAACUUGGGUAUAGGGGCGAAAGACUAAUCGAACUAUCUAGUAGCUGGUUCCCUC